CGCUAUAUGCUCUGACGAAUUGCUGUGAGGUCUCAGCUUAUAUAUAUAGAGAUAUAGAUAUAUAGAUAUAGAUAUAGAAGCUGAGACCUCACAGCAAUUCGUCAGAGCAU